rnacentral:rRNA from 1 species
GACGAACGCUGGCGGCGUGCUUAACACAUGCAAGUCGAACGGAAAGGCCCUGCUUUUGUGGGGUGCUCGAGUGGCGAACGGGUGAGUAACACGUGAGUAACCUGCCCUUGACUUUGGGAUAACUUCAGGAAACUGGGGCUAAUACCGGAUAGGAGCUCCUGCUGCAUUGUGGUGUUUGGAAAGUUUCGGCGGUUGGGGAUGUACUCGCGGCUUAUCAGCUUGUUGGUGGGGUAGUGGCUUACCAAGGCUUUGACGGGUAGCCGGCCUGAGAGGGUGACCGGCCACAUUGGGACUGAGAUACGGCCCAGACUCCUACGGGAGGCAGCAGUGGGGAAUAUUGCACAAUGGGCGGAAGCCUGAUGCAGCAACGCCGCGUGCGGGAUGACGGCCUUCGGGUUGUAAACCGCUUUCGCCUGUGACGAAGAGUGAGUGACGGUAAUGGGUAAAGAAGCACCGGCUAACUACGUG